ACACCGCUGGGCACUGGAGACAAUGGCCUGGAAAUUGGAAUGGGCAAAACGUCAGAUCUGAAAACUGGCACGGAAGAGAGAAAAUAAGAGGGGGAGAAAAAGUAAAUAAUAUCAAAUGAGUGGAGUGGUAGAAGCUUGAGAUUUAUUAAAACUAUAUUUUUCUGUAUAAAAUAACUAAAAUACUGAAAUUUGAAGUAGAGGAGGACUGGUUAAUGUCGUUGAUGACCUGUAAGUAAAAAUGAAAAUAAAACCUGAAACGAAAUAAGAAUGAAAUUAACAUAAAUAAAUAUUGUUGAUGGUUAGGUGAUUGCGGCACAUUGAAAGCUGAAUUUCGGACAGUUUCGGGAAUUAUAUGCUAAAUUAGGUGGAAUACGGGAAACGGAAUCAAAGAAACGUGUAGAGUUGCAAAUCAAAAUAAAACGGGAAGAGUACGAAGGCUGGAAAAGGAAACUACUUUGUAAGUAACAAACACAACAAAUUAUAACAAACUAAUAAAAAUAAAAUUAUUGCAGUUGAGCUGACCAAAAACUA